rnacentral:rRNA from 1 species
ACAUGCCUACAACAUAGUGUUAAUGCACCAGAUCCAAUUAGAACUACGCAGUUAAGUGUGCUCAGGCUAGAGUAGUACUGAGAUGGGUGACCGCCUGGGAAGUCCUAGUGUUUUACAUGCC